UACGUAGGGUGCGAGCGUUAAUCGGAAUUACUGGGCGUAAAGCGUGCGCAGGCGGUUUUGUAAGCCAGAUGUGAAAUCCCCGGGCUUAACCUGGGAAUGGCAUUUGGGACUGCAAGGCUGGAGUGUGGCAGAGGAGACUGGAAUAGCCAGUGUAGAGGUGAAAUUCGUAGAUAUUGGCUGGAACACCGGUGGCUAAAGCGGCUCUCUGGCCCGGUUCUGACGCUGAGGCGCGAAAGCGUGGGGAGCAAACAGG
rnacentral:rRNA from 1 species